GACAGAGGCCUCAAGCGUUAGGCGGAAUCACUGGGCUUAAAGCGUGUGUAGGCGGGCGGGCAAGUACCUUGUGAAAUCCCACGGCUCAACCGUGGAACGGCUGGGUAUACUGCCUGUCUUGAGCCAACUAGGGGCGAGCGGAACAGACGGUGGAGCGGUGAAAUGCGUAGAUAUCGGAAGGAACGCCGGUGGCGAAAGCGACGUGCUGGACCCCUUCUGACGCUGAGGCGCGAAAGCCAGGGGAGCGAACGGG
rnacentral:rRNA from 1 species